UUGACUAAACCACAGAGACACAGACUGCCUCAGAGCAGCCUCCUUUGGGAAAGAGAGCAGCUCCUCCUCCUCCUCCUCCCCCUCCUCCUCCUCCUAAUCCUCUUCCAUCCCAGCAUGGCCUUCAGAUUCCUUGGCCUCAUCCUACUCCCAUGGACCCUUCAGCCAGGAGGAGGCCAGCGAUUGACACAGCUUGGAGAACCGAUCCAAGUGACCUUGGCCCGCCAUCACCUUCCCUUGACUUGUGAGGUCACCUACCCCUACACCCCAGCCUUCACAAAGUACACGUUCAGUUACUAUCACAUUGACCUCCAGGGCAGGCAGAGCCCCCCUGUCUGGGCAAGCUGCAGUCAGACCCCGGGAGUCAAGAACAUGACCCACACCGAGAUGUGCUCCUUCACCCUGACAGCACUGCACAACGCUUCGGCUACGGGCACCUACUACUGCCUGGUGAAGUGGCCUUCCCACAAAGAGGCGGGCAGGGGGACCUUUAUCUUGGUCCGAGAUGCUGGAUAUAAAGAACCCCCAGAGAGCUCCAAGAAGAUUCUCCUCUUCACCUUCACUGGUCUCCUGGCUGUGCUGAGCAUCCUGGGAACUGGCCUGUUGCUCUGGAAGGCAAAGAAACAGAGGAAGUCUGCCAAGAAGAUCCCACAUCAGAAAGACUCAGGCCCAGCUGGGCGCUCAGCAGACCCCACGCCUGUUAGGGCAGGCUCCAUAUACACUAGAUCCUGCCUGCCUGUUACCAGAGAAACCACCUCUUUGGCAACCCUCUCUCCUCCAUGUGACUGAGGCACAGAGAAGUCCCCAUCUCUCCCUUGAACUCAUCCCAGUGUGCUGGCUCCAUUCGCUCCACCCUGGAUGGCGUCAGUGAUCAUGACUAGAGAUGGCUGGACUGGACUCUCUCCUGAGCUCCCCUGGUGCUGAGGGCUACAAUUCUGGGAUGCUGUGUGUCCUUCAUGGUGGCAGAGGUGGCCAGGACCUGACCUAACAUCUCUGCCCUGCCACCGAUUUGCUGUGUGGCCUUGGUCCAGUUAGGCCCCUUCUCUGGUCACUUGUUUCCUCUGCUGUAAAACAAAGGAGUGGGACGAGAUGACUUUCUAAGCUCCCUUCUGGCUCCGACGUGCAGGCAUUCCGUCUGCAGAUGCCCGUGUCGGGGACCCCCGCACCAUCGAGUAGAACCCGUGCACCCUCCCCCGUGGUCAUCAACGUGCCAAGCAGUGGAGGAGGCUCAGGCCGUCAGAGCUCCUCAGGGCACCAGCGGUGGUACAUGAGUGGCCUGCCAGGGUGCUCAGCCACUACAAACGGAUGGAUUUCUUCUGCUGGUGGUCUAGCAUAACCCCUGUCCUGCCACCUGCCUCAGAAUGGCUGAGAGAGAGGGAGGCAGCACACCGCCUAUCAGCAGGCCAGCUAUUACUGCGAGUAUCACUGCUUUCCCUCAGAUGAGCAAGGACUGCGGGGGAUCCAGAGGGCAAUGGGGAGACAUGAGGUGAGUGCUAACAGACUACCGACCACAAGCCAAGCGGACUUCUUUGUGAGAAGAACUGUCAACAAAAUCUUCAAGGACACAGGACCAGAAAGAGAGCUGGGCUCGUCACUUUGCGAGAGUAGCAGACAGGGGAGGCUUAGGACUGGACUCUGGUCAUCCCCAUCGGCCACUGAAACACCUACUGAAAGACCUCUGGCCUGAUGGAGCCAUUGUGGAUGACCCAUGGGUCACCCAGGAUGAGAUGGGUGGAGGGACCGCCUGGAGGAGGAGUCCAUGGCCCAACAAAGCAUGGAUUUAUCAUUAGCGCUGGGACUGCUCGUGGUUCCUGGGAUGCCGUGGCCAGCGAAGUUACUCAGGGCCAGCCUCUGGUGCGGGAGCUGUCUGCAUUUGCCUGGGCCUUCCUUGAAGGAUACACUAAGAACCUCUCACCAGACCCUGACGCUCUUCAGCCCCACCAAGCCGAGGUCUAUGAUUGCCUUCAGAAUGAAAGCAGCGUCCCUCCCUCUGAAUGGAGCCCACCAAC